rnacentral:sRNA from 1 species
GCCCAAUUUCGCACGUGCCUGUGGCCGCGUGCCGGUCGGUGGGCAUCCGGACAAGAGGCCGGACAGCCGCCCGGGGAUCAAAGGACGAGAGGCACCUCUCCGGUGCCAGGGUAUCUCGACCUCCCCGUCAAUCGACCGGCAGCUGGAGGCGAACCAGCAAUCUCCUGCUCUCCGCAGGGGGACGCGGCUUGAAGCAACGACGUAGCGGGCUUUU